rnacentral:rRNA from 1 species
AUGGAUUCCAUCUUGGCAAAUGAAACUUGGGAGAUAACUAAUCGUCCUUAUGGGUGCAAACCUAUAGGAUGCAAAUGGGUAUUCAAGAAGAAGCUUAGGCCUGAUGGUACUAUUGAAAAGUACAAGGCUCGGCUCGUGGCUAAGGGUUAUACCCAAAAGGAAGGUGAAGACUUCUUUGAUACUUACUCACCUGUGGCUCGACUGACCACUAUUCGAGUUCUACUUUCACUAGCUGCCUCGCAUGGUCUUCUCGUUCAUCAAAUGGAUGUUAAGACUGCUUUCCUAAAUGGAGAGUUGGACGAGGAAAUUUAUAUGGAACAACCAUAUGGGUUUGUACUAGAUGGUCAGGAAGGGAAAGUGUGCAAGUUGCUGAAGUCUUUGUACGGACUUAAGCAAGCACCCAAACAGUGGCAUGAGAAGUUUGAAAGAACUUUAACACCUGUAGGCUUUGUUGUGAAUGAAGCUAACAAAUGUGUGUACUAUCGCCAUGGUGGGGGCGAGGGAGUUAUCCUGUGCUUGUAUGUUGAUGACAUACCGAUUUUCGGAACCAAUCUGAAUGUUAUUAAGGAGGUAAAGGAUUUCCUAUCUCGUUGUUUUGAGAUGAAGGAUUUAGGAGUGGCUGAUGUCAUUCUGAACAUCAAGUUGUUGAGAGACGAUGAUGGUGGGAUUACAUUGCUUCAAUCUCACUAUGUGGAAAAGAUCUUGAGUCGCUUUGGCUAUAGUGACUGCAAGCCCUCUCCAACACCAUAUGAUGUUAGUGUGUUGCUUCGAAAGAAUCGAAGAAUUGCUAGAGACCAAUUGAACUAUUCUCAGAUUAUUGGCUCGCUUAUGUACUUAGCCAGUGCUACAAGACCUGACAUCUCUUUUGCUAUUAGCAAACUAAGUCGGUUUGUUUCAAAACCAGGAGAUGUGCAUUGGAAAGCUCUAGAGAGAGUUUUGCGUUAUUUGAAAGGCACUGAAAAUUAUGGAAUUCACUACACCGGACAUCCAAAGGUGCUUGAAGGGUAUAGUGACUCAAACUGGAUCUCAGAUGCUGAUGAGAUAAAGGCCACGAGCGGUUAUGUAUUCACUCGUGGAGGUGGCGCUGUUUCUUGGAAGUCUUGCAAGCAGACCAUCUUAACGAGGUCAACAAUGGAAGCAGAACUCACAUCACUAGAUACAGCUACGGUCGAAGCAAAUUGGCUUAGUCGGCUCUUGAAUGACUUACCGGUUGUUGAGAAACCUGUACCGGGUAUCCUUAUGAACUGCGACAAUCAAACUGUGAUCACGAAAGUGAGCAACUCAAAGGAUAACAUGAAGUCAUCAAGACACGUUCAGAGAAGGUUAAAGUCUGUCAGAAAAAUGAAAAACUCCGGAGUUAUUGCAUUGGAUUAUAUCCAAACGUCUAAAAAUCUGGCAGAUCCUUUUACUAAGGGUUUAUCACGUAAUGUGAUAGAUAAUGCAUCGAGGGAGAUGGGUAUGAGACCCACAAUAUGA